GAUUCGUCACACUAUCAUUAACUGAAUCCAUAGGUUAAUGAGGCGAACCGGGGGAACUGAAACAUCUAAGUACCCCGAGGAAAAGAAAUCAACCGAGAUUCCCCCAGUAGCGGCGAGCGAACGGGGAGGAGCCCAGAGCCUGAAUCAGCAUGUGUGUUAGUGGAAGCGUCUGGAAAGGCGCGCGAUACAGGGUGACAGCCCCGUACACAAAAGCGCAUGUGCUGUGAGCUCGAUGAGUAGGGCGGGACACGUGGUAUCCUGUCUGAAUAUGGGGGGACCAUCCUCCAAGGCUAAAUACUCCUGACUGACCGAUAGUGAACCAGUACCGUGAGGGAAAGGCGAAAAGAACCCCGGCGAGGGGAGUGAAAAAGAACCUGAAACCGUGUACGUACAAGCAGUGGGAGCACCCUUCGGGGUGUGACUGCGUACCUUUUGUAUAAUGGGUCAGCGACUUAUAUUCUGUAGCAAGGUUAACCGUAUAGGGGAGCCGGAGGGAAACCGAGUCUUAACCGGGCGUUAAGUUGCAGGGUAUAGACCCGAAACCCGGUGAUCUAGCCAUGGGCAGGUUGAAGGUUGGGUAACACUAACUGGAGGACCGAACCGACUAAUGUUGAAAAAUUAGCGGAUGACCUGUGGCUGGGGGUGAAAGGCCAAUCAAACCGGGAGAUAGCUGGUUCUCCCCGAAAGCUAUUUAGGUAGCGCCUCGUGAAUUCAUCUCCGGGGGUAGAGCACUGUUUCGGCUAGGGGGCCAUCCCGGCUUACCAACCCGAUGCAAACUGCGAAUACCGGAGAAUGUUAUCACGGGAGACACACGGCGGGUGCUAACGUCCGUCGUGAAGAGGGAAACAACCCAGACCGCCAGCUAAGGUCCCAAAGUCAUGGUUAAGUGGGAAACGAUGUGGGAAGGCCCAGACAGCCAGGAUGUUGGCUUAGAAGCAGCCAUCAUUUAAAGAAAGCGUAAUAGCUCACUGGUCGAGUCGGCCUGCGCGGAAGAUGUAACGGGGCUAAACCAUGCACCGAAGCUGCGGCAGCGAACGUAUCACCCAAGACAACUUUACGGAGUUGACGAUUGACGGAGCGAAGCGACGUCAAAGCGUUCAUUAAAGUCGAGUUGGCUUAGGGAUACGUUCGUUGGGUAGGGGAGCGUUCUGUAAGCCUGUGAAGGUGUGUCGUGAGGCAUGCUGGAGGUAUCAGAAGUGCGAAUGCUGACAUAAGUAACGAUAAAGCGGGUGAAAAGCCCGCUCGCCGGAAGACCAAGGGUUCCUGUCCAACGUUAAUCGGGGCAGGGUGAGUCGACCCCUAAGGCGAGGCCGAAAGGCGUAGUCGAUGGGAAACGGGUUAAUAUUCCCGUACUUGGUGUUACUGCGAAGGGGGGACGGAGAAGGCUAUGUUGGCCGGGCGACGGUUGUCCCGGUUUAAGCGUGUAGGUGUGUGUUCCAGGUAAAUCCGGUUCACUUUAACACUGAGGCGUGACGACGAGGCACUACGGUGCUGAAGCAACAAAUGCCCUGCUUCCAGGAAAA
rnacentral:rRNA from 3 species